rnacentral:rRNA from 1 species
UGCAGUCGACGAGAUCUUCGGAUCUAGUGGCAGACGGGUGAGUAACGCGUGGGAAUCUACCCAGUUCUCUGGAAUAACUGAUGGAAACGUCAGCUAAUACCGGAUACGCCCUUUUGGGGAAAGAUUUAUCGGGAUUGGAUGAGCCCGCGUAAGAUUAGCUAGUUGGUGGGGUAAUGGCCUACCAAGGCGACGAUCUUUAGCUGGUCUGAGAGGAUGAUCAGCCACACUGGGACUGAGACACGGCCCAGACUCCUACGGGAGGCAGCAGUGGGGAAUAUUGGACAAUGGGGGCAACCCUGAUCCAGCCAUGCCGCGUGAGUGAUGAAGGCCUUAGGGUUGUAAAGCUCUUUCACCGGUGAAGAUAAUGACGGUAACCGGAGAAGAAGCCCCGGCUAACUUCGUGCCAGCAGCCGCGGUAAUACGAAGGGGGCUAGCGUUGUUCGGAAUUACUGGGCGUAAAGCGCACGUAGGCGGAUAUUUAAGUCAGGGGUGAAAUCCCGGAGCUCAACUCCGGAACUGCCUUUGAUACUGGAUAUCUAGAGACCGAGAGAGGUAAGUGGAACUCCUAGUGUAGAGGUGGAAUUCGUAGAUAUUAGGAAGAACACCAGUGGCGAA